CACCCAGCUUCCGGCACCUUUCGCCACUCCGGCACAAACCGACACAGCUUUGCGAUCUCGCCAGCAUGCAGAGUCUGAUGUCUUCCCUAUAGAUGGUAUGCUUUUAAAAAAGCUUUAAAGCUGCAUCACAAUGUCAUUGUACUCUUAUCUAAAAAAAAAAACCCAAUUUAUACUCCUGAAUGUCAUCUUGUUGUGAUUUUUUUUUCUGUAGAUUCCAGAGACUCUGUGAGGCCACUAUUACAAGGCAAGUUUGAAAAUCUUGGAAUUUCAGUUUACAUGGUAUAACAAAUAUAUGUGACAGGCAAAAACUAGUAAACACUUUUAGCAGUUACAAGAACUAACAAAUGAAUAUCCAACAAAAGGGAAUAGAAAUACAUUGUACUGCCAAUACUUUGGUUUAUUCUUUGUAUGACUUGAAAAUCAGGCUUUAGGGAAAACUAAAUGACAUGUUUCUAUCAUCAAUUACAUGAAGUAAACACACAAGCACUUGCAUACACAUUUAAGACAUGAGACACGCUAAUUCCAUCUCAUAAAAUGUGUCUAUAGGUGAGACGCUUUGCGUUGAUUGGUGCUGCUGGACCACACUGGAGGUGCGAGUCCGCCGUGUAAUGGUUUAUGCCAUUACAACGGAGCUGGCCUCUGUACUCAACUGGGCAGGGGGAAAAAAACCAAGGACCAGACAAAGCAAAAAAGGGCAUUUAAAGAGACAGCGCUGUGCAGAUGCAUAUUUGAUGGCCUGGUGCAGCAGGUAGGGGCGAACUCUAUGUCUGAGUUGGUCUUUGCUCAAGCAGUCCAGAAAUGGCUCAGAUAUGCUCCAGAUCGUACGGGUGGCGCGCAGGACGCACAUCAUCCAUCCCCAUCCCAGAGUAAAUAAUAAAAAGUGACGUGAAACAUAGAACUGUAAAUAGGAAACUUUGUCUUUUAAUAAAGUAUUUUGCAAAUGAUACAUGUCUAUUGACCUUUUUUGUUUUUUUUCAAUAAAAAGCAACUGUGCGAAAGAGGUGGAAAAUCAAUACCAUAGCUCAACAGUGUUUCAAUAUCAGAAUCUGACAUUGUUUCAAUGUCAACAGUGUUAGAAAAUAUAACGUCGAAUCAAUGUCAGGUUUCAACAUUGAUUCAACAUCAAAACCUGACGUUGUUUCAACAUUAAAAAUGGGUGCAAGAGUGAUGUUGGGUCAACGUCACACUUCAACGUUGCUUCAAUGACGUCGCCUGAUAUUGACUCAACAUUGUUUCAAUGUUUCCUUGCUAUCUGGGUUAUUUCCAGAGUGGGUAACUAGAUGAUUCUGUAAGCUGCUACUGCGAGUAAAAGCUCUGCCACACUGAUCACAGCUGUACGCUUUAACUCCACUGUGGAUGAGUUGGUGGUUUUUUAGGGAACCCUUCCUGGAAAAAGACUUUCCACACAAGUCACAGGUGUGUUUUUUCUCUCUCUUUCUUCUGUGAGGUUUGUCGGCCUCCUGAGAGCGCUGACUUCUCGCUCCAUGUUGGUCCUGCAGUGACAGAGAUACAAACAGAGGCACUGAGUGAAAUGCAGUCGUGGAACAAACUGAACCUUCAAACUUCCUCCAUUAACACUAGUUUUAAACCUGAAGGUGGAGUGUGGCACCAAACACCUUAACGGUCUCUUAUCCCCACCUGCUGGUAGUUCUAACACAUUACAUCCAACCUGCUGUUAAAAAUAAUUCAUGACUGUUUAAACACUAAAAUCAUGCCCAUCCCUCCUGAUUACACACACACACACACACACACACACUUAUAUUAUUUUAUAAUUUAUAUUAUUUUGUUAUUUGUUAUUUUGUUGUUUCCCCAUUUCCUAUUUCUAUAUUUUGUUAUAGUUUUAUAUAUAAUCAUUUACUGAUAAUAAAUCCUAUGUUUGUUGAUUUGUUUAUAAAAGGAACCCCAUUAGCUUCCACAACAGAGGUUGCUCGUCGUCCGUCAAAUACAAUCACAUAAAAUAUUACACAAUAAAGUGGAUUCAAGAUAUCCACAUAAUUUGGCUCUUACAUCCACAGUUUCACAAUUGUUAAAAUAUAAGCAAUCAAUAAUAAUAAUAAUUUAAUAAUAAUAUCAAUAACACUGAAGCACAUUACACAAAUUUCAAAACAACUAAAAGUUCUGUAAAUCGGCUUUUAAGUGUUCAUUGAAGUUUUGAAUAGUUGCUAAUUCUCUAAUUUUAUAAGGUAAUUUAUUCGACUUAAAAGUUGCUCUAAAUAUAACAGUUUCACAAAAAGUUACUAUUCUAUGGCUUACUUGUACUUAUAAAGAAAGCAAUUCUGUUCAACACACCACAUUUAUUUCUGCUCAGCUGCAGUAUCCAGAUGAAAUACAUAAUCAUAUUACACGAUUU
ensembl:lncRNA